UUUCGUACAAAAUCGUAGUUUUUGACUUGGGAAAUUCAAAUUUGCCCAUUAAAUUGUAUUUUACGAAGUGUUUCAUUCGGUGAUUGAUCUGCACUUAAAUUGUACAAGUUUUUCGAUUUGAAUACCUAGUUUAAAUUUUGUGGUUCUAUCCCAAUUUACGUGAUUUUCUUUCGACAGUUUGGUCAACCUUGUUACGGUAGUUCCUAUUCCACUGUAAUCGAUUCAAACUUACAAAGUACCUGUUACAUAUUCAAUACUGCCUGGUGUCAGACUGAACUCACAAGUUUACAUGGACAAUUUACACCAUAGAUAUUAUAAACAUUUAAGUCGGAACCAUGUAAUAUAUAUGUGAAAAUCAAAAGAAUAAAACAGAAUUUUGCCCAGUAAUGGCAUCUAUAAGUGUAGAUAUGAAUAACAAUAAAAUAAAAACAACUGGGCGACAUAAUCACCUUCCUCGGCGAGUUGACAUUUCCAUGGUCAAUUUAAGAAGAGCAUUUGGUCUACAAGCAACAAGAUCUAAAUCACUGUUUAUACAAAUCAAACAUUUAUACAACCAAGAAAUAAUUAUAAAUCCAUAUGGUGCUAAAAAUUAUUCUUUAUCACAGUCACAAUUAUGUGUAAGAAGGAUGCGUCAAUGUCGUAAAGUGUCUUCAAUUAUUUGAGAUGCAUGAAGUUCCAUGAACUAUGGGUAGUUAUUAAUAUUGAUUUUUUGUAAUUAUAUUAUAAUAUAUAAAUUAUAUUUUCAACAAAACCAACGGGCUGAAUUUAAGAAGAGCUAUAAGAUUACAAUAUCAUGGUUACAGUAGAAAGUUAUAAAACAAGAAAUAAUCAUCAUUUAUCCAGAUGGUGUAAGAAAAUGAUGCUUUAUGCAAGAAAUAUGAAUCUUAUUAUGCAUCGUUUUGCAGAUAAUACAUUACACAAUUUAAAGCUUUUAUUUCAACUGUUUUUGGAUGUAUAAGAAAAUUAAACGGGAUGAUCAAAAUAUUGAUUUUACAAUCAACCACUAUCAUUGGAAUAUAGAACAUUUUGUCCUAGUCAAUACUUUUAAUUGAUGGACGAUUCAUUCCUGGCAAUUACUAAACUAGAACAUUUGUUCCCUGAGGGUUAUAAGCCAUAGGACCUUUGUUUCCCAGUAUAUUGAUAAUGAGUUUGGUGGUUGGUCCUUAAGGGCCUGUUUUACAACCAUAGUUUAAACCUUGGUUACGCCUAACCCACUGAUUUUACCGGCCGAAUUCGGUGGUUUAACCUUAGUUUAAAAAUUGUAAUAUGGGCCCUAAAUGAAUAAUAAUAAUUAUUAUUAAAUCAUUAUUUUUCUGAAUAUCUUAAAUUGUUCUAUUAUAAUAAGAAAAUUACAAUAAUAUAAAUACCUAAAAUAUAAUUAUAAAUAAUUGUCUUAUAUUUUACUAACCAUCUAAUAUCUACUGCUGACAAAAGUAAAAAAUAAAUAUUUAACAAAAUACUUGAAAAAUCUGACCUGUAGUUAGCCCAACUUCAAUCUAAAUGUAUAUCAUUUCAUUAAAUACUGAAACGGGUUUUUUUUUAUAUGCAUCAAAAGUUAAUAAGAUUAACCGGACCAAUAAAAUAUUUUGUACUUGCUUCUAUUGUAAAAAUAAAACAAUAUUAUACAUAUAUUCUAUACGGUAAUAGCUUUUGAAUGUUAGUUAAUUGGGUGUUUAAAUAGAUACAGAAACAAAAUGUAAUCCUAAAAAAAAUUGAACAAGUAAAAAUUUAAUUGUCACAAAAAAAAUUUAAUUAAUUGUACUGCACAGAAUUCAAACAUUGAAAAUUAUUUAAACAUUCUAAAUUAUUUAAAAAUAAUUGGCGAGUUUUCCAGUGAUAUAAAACGUGAGUCAUAAAUUAAUAUAUCAACUGUUGAUUAUUUGUAAUUAAAUUAUAUCGAUCUGUAUUAUUGUAAUUAUCGCAUAAUAAAUUAUAAUUUAAGAAAUUGAGAAAUUAAUUACAAUUAUUAACUUAUUUAACUAUGAAAUAAUAUUAAAUUAAUCUAUAAAACUAUAUUCAUUUCUUGUUUUAAUAUAUUUUUUAAUGAUUUAAUAUACCAACAUAUGCACCAGUGUGCAUGGUUGACAGUUAUACUGGGUCCUAUGGUUUAUAACUUUCGUUGAUUAAAUGUAGACCAAUCUUUAUAUUUAGUAUAACAAAAUCUUCCUGAACUUAUUAUUUUGACUUGAAAUUGCGUCUAAUAUUACCCUAUAUUAAGUAUUUUAUAAUUAUAAAAAAUCCUAUCUAUAUAAGACAGCAACUAAUAUUACGGGAUCUGUUGAAAACGGUGCCAUUAAGAAUGCUUCUGAUGAUCUUAAAGAAUGUUAUAGUUGAAAUAAAAUGUAAAUUUCUGUUUUGCAUUUUAAGUUAUUACCAUGUUAUCAGUGGCAGCUCGUGGGUUUUUAAUGAAAUACUGCACAUCCAAAAAAAAUAUAACCAAUAUUUUAUAAAUUGUAUUAAAUUAUUAUUUACGAAUUUUAGUUAUUCACCAUUUAGCUUUUAUUUUGUUUAAAUUUUUAAACAGAAACACAAUUGUAUACAGGAAAAAAUGUCAACAUCAAUUCCAUUAUAAUGCAGGUUGCGUGUUUCAAUGUGUUUUAAUUUUUACACUGUACAAAUGUGUAAAUACUUUAUUAUUUUCACAAUAUUCUAUAAUUUAUGUUUUUUUAUUUUAAAAAAUAAUCUUAAUAACACUAAGUACUUAGUUGUAUUAUUAUGAUUUAUGUUUUCAAAUAUUCUUGAGUUUGGGUAGGUAGUGCACAUGCACUUGUGCACAUAUACACAAGCCGCCACUGCAUGUUAUUAAAGUGGAGUAAUAUUGAAUACUCUUAAGUCUUAAUACAUACAUUUGUGGUUUAUAAUUAUAUAUCUUAUAUCAAUAACUUAUUUAUUAUACUAAGUGUUUUGUUUGA